UCAUUAACUGCUAGACUUCUUUACUCUUGAUUUCUCUUUCAAAGCCAACUGUCACAAAACUCUCUGAAAAUUUCCGUCACUUUCUCGAGAAAAUAACUAAAAAGAAAAAGGAAAGAAAAGAAAAGAAGGAACCACUUCCUAUGGGCCGAAGCUCGUCUCCUCCGGGACUAGACGGCGAUGGCAACGAAAAUGGAAAAAACAACGCCAUUAACAACAACAGCGACACAAACAACAAUAACAAUGAUCAAGGAUUCUACUCGAUCCGCGAUCGGUUUCCUUUCAAAAGGAAUCCUGGCCAUAGCCGGGACCGAAUCAAACAAUAUUCUCUCCUCGAACGGCCUUUAGUCCGAAACCGUGCCCGGUUCAACCGGAAAGGAUUAUUGCACUUCCCUUUUCGAGGCAUUUAUUUGUUUUAUUUUUUGAUAUUUUUCUCUGUGUUCGCUUUUGCUGUGGCGUCAAUGGUGAUGCAGAGUUCGAUUACGGCGAUGUUGUUUAGGCAAGGAGGAGAGAGGAGUUGGAGGAGGUCUAUUAGAGAAGGUUUGAGGUUCGGGAGCUCCUUGAAGUUUAUGCCGCCUGGGAUCUCGAGGCUGCUCGCUGAAGGCGGUGGACUUGAUCCGAUGAGAUCGACUGACAGGAUCGGACUUCGUGGCCCAAGACUUGCCCUUGUUUUGGGGAACAUGAAGAAAAACUCACAAUCAUUGAUGCUGGUGACUGUAGUAAAGAGUCUUCAAAGGCUUGGUUAUGUAUUUAAGAUUUAUGCACUAGACAGUGGCGAAGCACGUGGAAUGUGGGAGAACCUAAGUGCUCAGUUUUCAUUUUUUGGUCCGCAGCAAUUUGGUCAUAUUGAUUGGUCAAUGUUUGAAGGUGUUAUUGCUGAUUCUCUUGAAGCAAAAGAAGCCAUCUCAAGCCUUAUGCAGGAGCCUUUUGAUACAGUACCACUUAUAUGGAUAGUUCAAGAAGAUACUCUGGCAAAACGUCUUCCUGUCUAUGAGGAGAAAGGGUUGCAGCAUCUUGUUUUGAAUUGGAAAACUGCUUUUACCAGGGCCAAUGUUAUUCUGUUCCCGGAUUUUACCCUACCGAUGUUAUAUAGCAUGCUAGACACUGGAAACUUCCAUGUAAUUCCUGGAUCACCGGUGGAUGUGUGGGGUGCAGAAAGUUACAGUAUGACCCAUGAAAAGCAACAGUUAAGGAAAGACAAUGGGUUUAGCAUGGAUGACAUGGUGGUUCUAGUUGUCGGAAGUUCUUUCUUCUACGAUGAGUUAUCGUGGGAUUAUGCUGUUGCGCUGCAAACUAUUGGACCUCUCCUCCAGAGAUAUACAAGGAGAAAUGAUGCGGGAGGGUCAUUUAAAUUUAUUUUCUUGAGUGGUAACUCCACUGACGGAUAUAAUGAUGCUUUACAGCAAGUUGCAUCAAGGUUAGGACUUCCCCAAGGCUCUGUUAGGCAUUAUGGCUUGGAUGGUGAUACCAAUGGAGUUAUAUUAAUGGCUGACAUUGUUCUAUAUGGUUCUUCCCAAGAAGAACAGGGUUUUCCUCCUUUAAUUAUCCGAGCCAUGACCUUUGGAAUCCCUGUCAUCACACCUGAUUUUCCUAUCGUCAAAAAAUAUGUGGUUGAUGGAGCACAUUGUGUUUUUUUCCCAAAACAUGAUCCUGAUGCUUUAUUGAGGGCUUUCUCGCUUCUGAUUUCGAAUGGCAGACUAUCUAAAUUUGCUGAAACAGUUGCUUCUUCUGGAAGACUGCUUGCUAAGAAUAUUUUAGCAUCUGAAUGCAUAACUGGUUAUGCAAGCCUUCUGGUGAAUUUACUCUAUUUCCCAUCAGAUGUUUUGCUGCCAGGUCCUGUUUCUGAACUUCAGCAGGCAUCCUGGGAGUGGAACCUUUUCAGGAAGGAAAUAGAACACAGUAAUUUUGAUACUUCUGUAGAUUCUAGUGUUGUUUAUACCGUUGAGGAGGAAUUGACCAAACACAUUAUUGACACGUCUAAGAAUAGGACUGAGCUUCAGGAUCAGGAUGCCCUUACUGGACAAGAUCUGGACCUUGUGACAGAAAUAGAGAACUUUGAAGAUUAUGAAAGACUUGAAAUGGAGGAGAUUAAUGAAAGAACAGAGAGACAUCUUGGUGUAUGGGAUGAGAUAUAUCGGAAUGCUCGGAAAUCUGAGAAGCUGAGGUUUGAGGCAAACGAAAGAGAUGAAGGAGAGCUAGAAAGGACAGGUCAACCUGUAUGCAUAUAUGAGAUCUAUAGUGGAGCUGGGGCCUGGCCAUUUUUGCACCAUGGAUCGUUGUACCGUGGGCUAAGUCUUUCUAGAAGAGCAAGGAGGUUGACAUCAGAUGAUGUGGAUGCAGUUGGCCGACUUCCGCUUUUGAAUAGCACUUACUAUAGGGAUUUAUUAUGUGAAGUUGGAGGAAUGUUCUCUAUUGCAAAUAGGGUGGAUAGCAUUCACAAGAGACCUUGGAUUGGUUUUCAAUCGUGGCAAGCUGCUGGUAGGAAGGUUUCAUUGUCCACAAAAGCUGAAAAAGUUCUAGAAGAAACAAUACAAAGAAGUAAAGGAGAUGCAAUGUACUUUUGGGCACACCUUGACGCUGAUGGUGGAGGUGAAGGAAGCAGUGAUGCACUCACAUUUUGGUCGAUGUGUGACAUAUUAAAUGCCGGACACUGCAGAACUGCUUUUGAAAAUGCCUUCCGCAAGAUGUACAACUUACCAUUGGAUAUGGAAGCUCUUCCUCCCAUGCCCCAAGAUGAAGGUCACUGGUCUUCCUUGCACAGCUGGGUGAUGCCAACCAAGUCCUUCUUGGAGUUUGUUAUGUUUUCACGGAUGUUUGUUGAUUCUCUCGAUGCCUUGCAGUCCAAUUCUAGUGAGGCUAAUAUGUGUUUGUUGGGUUCCACAUAUCUUGAGAAAAAACAAUGUUACUGUCGGGUACUGGAACUCUUGGUCAAUGUUUGGGUUUACCAUAGUGGGCGGAGGAUGGUCUACAUUGAGCCACACUCUGGUUUGCUUGAAGAGCAACAUCCAGUUGAACAACGGAAAGAAUUUAUGUGGGCUAGAUAUUUUAACUUCACAUUAUUGAAGUCCAUGGAUGAAGAUCUAGCUGAGGCUGCGGACGAUGCUGACCAUCCGAGGAAGGUGUGGUUGUGGCCAUUGACCGGGGAAGUGCAUUGGCAAGGAAUUUAUGAGAGGGAGAGGGAAGAAAGAUACCGGUUGAAGAUGGACAAAAAGAGGAAAACUAAAGAGAAAUUAUUGGAAAGGAUGAGAAAUGGGUAUAGGCAGAGACCACUUGGAUUAUAGGAUACUUAGAAGCUAAUUCAGAUGACCGUAUUCUAAGUCUAACCUAGAAACACUGAACUCCUAACACGAAUGCUGAACCCCUUUUUCUUUUCUCAACCCGGGAAGCCGGAAAAAUGACUGCAGACAAGAGAAGGCGAGUUAAAAUCUAACAGCUUUCAAGACAAUCUAUUCUUCCAAUUCUUUUUUAUCAAGUAAAUUGCUUCCAAGAAUCUGAGGGGAGACAAAUAUAGCUUCCUGGUGUUUUUGUGGUUCGCUAGCGACUCAAGCUGAUUUACAGAGGGAUAUCUCAGGAGACAGAGCAUACCAGUUCCGGGAUUUUGGUUAAGAGGGUGACAAUUAUGGUUAGGGUGUAAACGAGACAGUGGUUCUUACUAGCUACGGGGUUCGGUAUGAAAAAUAUUUGAAUUAGUUUUGUUGAGCUGAGUUGAAGCUCGAGGAAAGCUGAGUUUAAAGGGCUUAAUGCCUUGGUCGAGGUGGUUUGCAGAUCUAGCCGGGCAUUGGUUUUUAAUAUAAUUUUAACUAGUAUUGAAAAAUCUUAGCUCGCACGUAAAUAUAAGAAUUUUUAUUGAAUUUACUCGUAGGAGUUUGAGAAAUAUAUAUAUUAUUUUGAAAUCAGGUUCUCAAUGAUUUGAUUUGGGCUGGUUUCUUUGCUUCUAUCUGAAUCCCAUUAUAUCAAUAAUUAAGAGCAGGAAAAAAGAGAGCUUUGAAUCAUCUGUAUUAUUGGUAA